GGUCCUUGAUGUGUAGGAUAGGUGGGAGGCUUUGAAGUGUGGACGCCAGUCUGCAUGGAGCCAUCCUUGAAAUACCACCCUUUAAUGGCUGGUGUUCUAACGUGGGCCCCUGAUCGGGGUUGCGGACAGUGUCUGGUGGGUAGUUUGACUGGGGCGGUCUCCUCCUAAAGAGUAACGGAGGAGCACGAAGGUCAGCUAAUCCUGGUCGGACAUCAGGAGGUUA
rnacentral:rRNA from 1 species